UAUUAUGGAACAGUACAACUGUUUACCAUAAUACUCGUCUCCAUCUGGGGUAUUUUAACACCGCUGGCCAUCUACUGUCUCUACUCUCAGGUCCGAAGUGAUCGUGUCGUUCCAGUUUUCAUCAUCAACCUUCUCAUUUCAGACGUCAUUCAGAUUUGCUGUAUGAUUGUACAAGUGGCAAAUAUAAAUUACUCUAUUGUAAAACAUAUUUUCAUUUAUUAUACCUACUUCUGUGGUGUGAUGGCCAGUGUUUUCUUCAUGACCUUCAUUGCCAUGGAAAGGUAUCUGCUGAUUGCCUGGCCUUUUUGGUACAGAUUCCAGCGAAAACUCAAGGUUUCUGUAUCAGUCAGUGUUGUGAGCUGGAUACUUUCUGUUUAUAUUGGUUUAAAUAGUGGAAGCUGGCUGGGACCCCUCCUGGCUCUUCCCCUCCCCCUGUUAAUAUUCUUCUUUGUACGCAGUCUUAAAGCCCUGUCUACAUCCCAUAAUGUCCCACCUGAUGAAAGACGACAAAUUAUAGCUGUUUUAACUGUGGUGGUGUUUGCUUACAUACUGACAUUCUUACCACAAAUUCUAAUAGAGUUUGUGGUGUGGGGAGGGUGGUGGUGGUUCUGGAAUUUUAACUAUACCACAUACAGAAACUUCUUCAGUGUGUCCUGCACUAUAAUCCAGAUAAAUCCUCUGACAGAUUUGCUUCUAUACAUUCUUAUGAAGAAGUGGCUCCUUAACAAACUGCUGGCCCUCCUGUGUUGCUGCAGAAAGACUAACAAUGGGAACCAGCAGACAAACAGCAUCACAGAAACAACAUGUAGUUGGUCGGCUUCUCAGGAGCAGAAAGAAGCAGAGAAUAAUUUCUGAAAGGUAAAAUUAAGACAAAUGAAAUAAAUAUUAAAUUCUGUACAUAAGCAAUAACACAUCUAAUAUUUUAAAAAAGCAACCUGCAUAUAAAAACUGUUUUAAUUACCAAAUCAACCAUUGAUCUUUAGAAAGAUGUAAAUAGUUUAUUGGUGAAAAAAUAUGUU